rnacentral:tRNA from 1 species
GUUCUCUUAGUUCAAGGGUAGAACUUCAUUCUUCUAAAGUGGAAAUUUUGGUUCGAUUCCAAAAGAGGAUU